rnacentral:misc_RNA from 1 species
AAGUCGUAACAAGGUUUCCGUAGGUGAACCUGCGGAAGGAUCAUUAGUGAGUGAGUGGUGGAUGUGUUGCGGUUGCUCUUCAUUAUUUGUUUAACUACAGUCACCCUUAUUAUCAACAACAACAUCAUAUACAUACAACAAUCAACAACAACUCUCAGCCACGGAUAUCUUGGUUCUC